AUUGGGACUGAGAUACGGCCCAGACUCCUACGGGAGGCAGCAGUGGGGAAUAUUGCACAAUGGGCGCAAGCCUGAUGCAGCGACGCCGCGUGCGGGAUGACGGCCUUCGGGUUGUAAACCGCUUUUGACUGGGAGCAAGCCCUUCGGGGUGAGUGUACCUUUCGAAUAAGCACCGGCUAACUACGUGCCAGCAGCCGCGGUAAUACGUAGGGUGCAAGCGUUAUCCGGAAUUAUUGGGCGUAAAGGGCUCGUAGGCGGUUCGUCGCGUCCGGUGUGAAAGUCCAUCGCUUAACGGUGGAUCCGCGCCGGGUACGGGCGGGCUUGAGUGCGGUAGGGGAGACUGGAAUUCCCGGUGUAACGGUGGAAUGUGUAGAUAUCGGGAAGAACACCAAUGGCGAAGGCAGGUCUCUGGGCCGUCACUGACGCUGAGGAGCGAAAGCGUGGGGAGCGAACAGGAUUAGAUACCCUGGUAGUCCACGCCGUAAACGGUGGAUGCUGGAUGUGGGGACCAUUCCACGGUCUCCGUGUCGGAGCCAACGCGUUAAGCAUCCCGCCUGGGGAGUACGGCCGCAAGGCUAAAACUCAAAGAAAUUGACGGGGGCCCGCACAAGCGGCGGAGCAUGCGGAUUAAUUCGAUGCAACGCGAAGAACCUUACCUGGGCUUGACAUGUUCCCGACAGCCCCAGAGAUGGGGCCUCCCUUCGGGGCGGGUUCACAGGUGGUGCAUGGUCGUCGUCAGCUCGUGUCGUGAGAUGUUGGGUUAAGUCCCGCAACGAGCGCAACCCUCGCCCUGUGUUGCCAGCACGUCGUGGUGGGAACUCACGGGGGACCGCCGGGGUCAACUCGGAGGAAGGUGGGGAUGACGUCAGAUCAUCAUGCCCCUUACGUCCAGGGCUUCACGCAUGCUACAAUGGCCGGUACAACGGGAUGCGACACCGCGAGGUGGAGCGGAUCCCUUAAAACCGGUCUCAGUUCGGAUUGGAGUCUGCAACCCGACUCCAUGAAGGCGGAGUCGCUAGUAAUCGCGGAUCAGCAACGCCGCGGUGAAUGCGUUCCCGGGCCUUGUACACACCGCCCGUCAAGUCAUGAAAGUGGGUAGCACCCGAAGCCGGUGGCCCAACCUUUUGGGGGGGAGCCGUCUAAGGUGAGACUCGUGAUUGGGACUAAGUCGUAACAAGGUAGCCGUACCGGAAGGUGCGGCUG
rnacentral:rRNA from 1 species